AAGUCGUAACAAGGUUUCCGUAGGUGAACCUGCGGAAGGAUCAUUAACACGUAUCCAACGUUAAACCCCCCCCGUGAACGUACAAUCUGUUGCUUCUCCGGUAACGCGAAACAAUGGUUGCAAUCCCUGGUAAAUCAUCGCCGAACAGUUUUGGGGCGUCGUUCCUAUAGGAACGAGUCCACGUCCCUCUUGACCCCUUGAAACGACAGGGUGUCUGCAAAACGGAGGCUCAAUCACUCCACACUUGAAAGGGUCGUGGAGAUAACGAACAACUGUUAACAAUGGAUAUCUUGGUUCUC
rnacentral:misc_RNA from 1 species